UACGAAGGGGGGCUAGCGUUGCUCGGAAUCACUGGGCGUAAAGCGCACGUAGGCGGCUUGUUAAGUCAGGGGUGAAAUCCUGGAGCUCAACUCCAGAACUGCCUUUGAUACUGGCGACCUUGAGUUCGGGAGAGGUGAGUGGAACUGCGAGUGUAGAGGUGAAAAUUCGUAGAUAUUCGCAAGAACACCAGUGGCGAAGGCGGCUCACUGGCCCGAUACUGACGCUGAGGCACGAAAGCGUGGGGAGCAAACAGG
rnacentral:rRNA from 1 species